rnacentral:rRNA from 1 species
GACGAACGCUGGCGGCGUGCUUAACACAUGCAAGUCGAACGGUGAAGCGCCUUCCUUUUUGGUGGGUGUGGAUGAGUGGCGAACGGGUGAGUAACACGUGAGUAACCUGCCCCCUUCUUCUGGAUAACCGCAUGAAAGUGUGGCUAAUACGGGAUAUUCUGGGUCUGUCGCAUGAUGGGUCUGGGAAAGAUAUUGUUUCGGUGGGGGAUGGGCUCGCGGCCUAUCAGCUUGUUGGUGGGGUGAUGGCCUACCAAGGCGGUGACGGGUAGCCGGCCUGAGAGGGUGGACGGUAACACGGGGACUGAGACACGGCCCAGACUCCUACGGGAGGCAGCAGUGGGGAAUAUUGCACAAUGGGCGCAAGCCUGAUGCAGCGACGCCGCGUGAGGGAUGGAGGCCUUCGGGUUGUGAACCUCUUUCGCCAGUGAAGCAGGCCUGCCUCGUUUGUGGGUGGGUUGACGGUAGCUGGAGAAGAAGCGCCGGCUAACUACGUG